rnacentral:rRNA from 1 species
GGCGCAGCCUGAUCUAGCCAUGCCGCGUGUGUGAUGAAGGUCUUAGGAUCGUAAAGCACUUUCGCCAGGGAUGAUAAUGACAGUACCUGGUAAAGAAACCCCGGCUAACUCCGUGCCAGCAGCCGCGGUAAUACGGAGGGGGUUAGCGUUGUUCGGAAUUACUGGGCGUAAAGCGUACGUAGGCGGAUUGGAAAGUUGGGGGUGAAAUCCCAGGGCUCAACCCUGGAACUGCCUCCAAAACUAUCAGUCUAGAGUUCGAGAGAGGUGAGUGGAAUUCCAAGUGUAGAGGUGAAAUUCGUAGAUAUUUGGAGGAACACCAGUGGCGAAGGCGGCUCACUGGCUCGAUACUGACGCUGAGGUACGAAAGUGUGGGGAGCAAACAGGAUUAGAUACCCUGGUAGUCCACACCGUAAACGAUGAAUGCCAGUCGUCGGGCAGUAUACUGUUCGGUGACACACCUAACGGAUUAAGCAUUCCGCCUGGGGAGUACGGUCGCAAGAUUAAAACUCAAAUG